rnacentral:rRNA from 1 species
UACAGAGGGUGCAAGCGUUAAUCGGAAUUACUGGGCGUAAAGCGUGCGCAGACGGUUGCGUAAGUCAGAUGUGAAAGCCCCGGGCUCAACCUGGGAAUUGCAUUUGAGACUGCGUAGCUAGGGUGCGGAAGAGGGAAGCGGAAUUUCCGGUGUAGCGGUGAAAUGCGUAGAUAUCGGAAGGAACACCAGUGGCGAAAGCGGCGUGCUGGACCUCUUCUGACGCUGAGGCGCGAAAGCUAGGGGAGCGAACGGG